rnacentral:rRNA from 1 species
UACGGAGGAGGCAAGCGUGAUCCGGAAUUAUUGGGCGUAAAGCGUCCGCAGGUGGCACUUCAAGUCUGUCGUCAAAGACUGGGGCUUAACCCCGGAAAGGCGGUGGAAACUGAAGCGCUAGAGUGCGGUAGGGGUAGAGGGAAUUCCCGGUGUAGCGGUGAAAUGCGUAGAGAUCGGGAAGAACAUCGGUGGCGAAAGCGCUCUACUGGACCGCAACUGACACUCAGGGACGAAAGCUAGGGGAGCGAAUGGG